CAGAAGGUUGGCACCAGCAAAGAUGACAGCAUGCAGGGCUAAAGCGAAGGGCGCGCAAGGCGCCGGGAGGGACCGGUCACGAAGCAGCCAUCGGAGGGUAGCUGACAUAGUCGACAGGGACCCCCGCGGGGUGGACCACACCCAGGGGAGGCAUAGGGCGCCCCCUGUCGGUUCAAGGGGAUGGUUGCAGCAGGACGGCAGUUCCAUGAGC